rnacentral:tRNA from 1 species
UGAGAUGUGGCUCAGUUGGUAGAAUGCUUGCCUAGCAUGCAUGAGGCACUGGGUUCAACCCUCAGCACCAUAU